rnacentral:rRNA from 1 species
GACGUAGGGGGCCAGCGUUGUUCGGAAUUACUGGGUGUAAAGGGUUCGUAGGCGGUGCGGCAAGUUGGGAGUGAAAUCUCUGGGCUUAACCCAGAGGCUGCUUCCAAAACUGCUGUGCUUGAGUGUGGGAGAGGCGCGUGGAAUUGCAGGUGUAGCGGUGAAAUGCGUAGAUAUCUGCAGGAACACCCGUGGCGAAAGCGGCGCGCUGGACCACUACUGACGCUGAGGAACGAAAGCUAGGGGAGCAAUCAGG